ensembl:lncRNA
AAGCAUCCCCGUUGAACGCUUUCGACACCUUGCCCCAACAAAUUGACUCUGUUCUGACGGCAAAAGGGGGUGCAACUGUGGGGCUUUUUUUCAGUGGCAGGGACUGGGAGACUAGUCAGGAUCGAGGGAAAGAUACAAAAAAGUACAGAAGGAUCCUUUUUGAAAACCUGCUCCAGAGCGCUCGGGAAACCAAUGCAGGGGUGGGUUCAGGACAAGUCUCUGAAUGUCCUUGAGUGGCCCAGCCAGAGCCCAGACUUGAACCCAGAUCGAACAUCUCUGGAGAGACCUGAAAAUAGCUGUGCAGCGACACUCCCCAUCCAUCCUGACUUGAGUGGAUCCGUAGCUUGAGAGGAUCCGCAGAGAAGAAUGGGAGAAACUCCACAAAUGCAGGUGUGCCAAGCUUGUAGCAUCAUACCCAAGAAGACUUUAGGCUGUAAUCACUGCCAAAGGUGCUUCAACAAAGUAUUGAGAGACAUGUGUGCUGGAGUCAGAGCAGGUCCCCACCAGCUGCAACCUGUUCCAUAAUCAAGACCACUACAAAUACUCAGCCCUGCCAGUUCCACGCUGCCAAAUCUUCUGCCCGCUCUGACUCUAGUCCCUGUCGGCAGUCCCACGGCUCGUCAUCCUGCUACUCUGUCCUGGAUACCCCACUCUACUACUCCCUUGGAUUCCCCUCUGGACCUGCUUACCCUGUCCCAACCCCUCUCGCUCCAGCCUCAGCCUCCGCACCUGGUUUCCAGCAACCCGCCCGAGCUUCCCCUGACCUACACUACAUCUCCCCCCUGUGUUUCUGGGUUUGCUCUUGGGUUCCCCUGUUCCACUCUUUGUAACAUUUUCACAUUUAAGGUCAACUAGGGCUGUCAAAUAAGAAUAGAUGAAUAAUCGAGUUAAUCAAAGGUUUUGCUGUGAUUAAUCACAACUAAUCACAAAUGCAUAAUUAGCUC